rnacentral:other from 1 species
UAAUUUCUGGGAUAUUCGUGAAGCUUUUGUUUUGAACCUACAUUGUGCAUAAGGGAGUUCAAUAUUAAAUGAUGGAUAUCAAGCCUAUUGUGAGACCCGUAGGGCAGGGGAAGAUAGAAGCAUUUAUGAGAACACCCACCUAUCGAGAGAUAGGUGUCAAAAUAGAAGCAACGGUAUCUUGGAUUUUGC